UACGUAGGGGGCUAGCGUUGUCCGGAAUCAUUGGGCGUAAAGAGCGUGUAGGCGGUCCGGUAAGUCCGCUGUGAAAGUCGGGGGCUCAACCCUCGAAUGCCGGUGGAUACUGUCGGGCUAGAGUGCGGAAGAGGCGAGUGGAAUUCCUGGUGUAGCGGUGAAAUGCGCAGAUAUCAGGAAGAACACCCGUGGCUAAGGCGGUUCUCUAGUACGGUACUGACGCUGAGACGCGAAAGCGUGGGGAGCGAACAGG
rnacentral:rRNA from 1 species